rnacentral:rRNA from 1 species
UACGUAGGGGGCGAGCGUUGUCCGGAUUUACUGGGCGUAAAGCGCGUGUAGGCGGCCCGUUAAGUGGGGUGUGAAAGCCCGGGGCUCAACCCCGGGACGCCGCUUCAAACUGGCGGGCUUGAGGACGGAAGAGGGGAGUGGAAUUCCUGGUGUAGCGGUGAAAUGCGUAGAGAUCAGGAGGAACACCGUGGCGAAGGCGGGUCUCUGGGCCGAUGACUGACGCUGAGGAGCGAAAGCGUGGGGAGCGAACAGG